AACAAUGGCUAGUAGUGAAAAUGAUGACUGGGUUAUACCCUCAGUAAAGCUCCAAUAUUGUUAUUGAAGUUUCGUAUUUUUGCAUUCAUUUUUAUAUUCAGUUGAUAAUCAUAUUAUUGGCAAACAGUGAUGAUCACAAAAUCAAAAUAAGUCAUAAUCUUUAGUUUAUUCUCUGAAGAUGAAGAGGAUGAGCUUCAAAACAAAUGGAGCAACAAACUUAAAGUUACUUGAUGGUGUAAAAAACUAAUAAGCUGACGGUCCAUAAAAUUUAAACUCUUUUUUAAUUCUUACAUGUCUUUAAUACUUAAACGGCCUGAUUAGCUAUUUCUUCAUUUAUAGAUAAGGAGAAGAUGUAAUCCCACAAUGUAGUCUAUCGAACAUGUUCAAUUAAACUGUUCUGAAAAGUUUUAGACAAAAUAUGAUUAUAGCCACCGGGGUGUUAUAUAUGUUAUAAUUCAGG
rnacentral:lncRNA from 1 species